UACGUAGGGCGCGAGCGUUGUCCGGAAUUAUUGGGCGUAAAGAGCUCGUAGGCGGCCUGUUGCGUCCGCUGUGAAAUCCCAGGGCUCAACCCUGGGCGUGCAGUGGAUACGGGCAGGCUGGAGGCAGGCAGGGGAGAACGGAAUUCCCGGUGUAGCGGUGAAAUGCGUAGAUAUCAGGAGGAACACCGGUGGUGUAAACGGCUUUCUGGACCAUAACUGACGCUGAGGCACGAAAGCGUGGGUAGCAAACAGG
rnacentral:rRNA from 1 species